CUUGGGCAAAUUAUUAACCUGGUUUGCCUCCAUUUCUUCAUCGAUAAAAUGAAUUAGAAAAGGAAAUGGUGAACCACUCCAAUAUCUUUUCCAAGAAAAUGCCAAAUGGGGUCAUGAAGAGUCAAACAUGCCUGAAACGACUGAACAACAACACUUAAGUUUAAGUGACUUUUCCAAAGUCACACAGACUUGGUAGACCCGGGACUUACAGCUUGAUGGCAACCAAGACUUUAUAUUGACUCCUGAGCCAGAAGGGACUGUGUAUAGCAUUGGAAGCAGUCUGACACCCCUUAUCCCACCACUAUGCAGCUACCAUAUGGCUGUGAAUGGGUGGCACCACUCCUUUGUGUUUACUCUUUCCUGGUCUUAGGAGAAUGAAUAUCAGAGAUGGAUAGGACUAGUUUAUCACCUUGUGAACUUCGAAAGGAGAUCAGAAAAGGAAGAAAGGAAGUAAUAAAAAUCAGAAGAAAGGGAAAAAAGGAAGGAAAGAAGAAAGAAGAAAAGAAAGAAGGAAGAAAAGAAGGAGGAAAGAGGGAAGGAAGAAAGGAAUGAAGGAAAGAAGGAAGAAAAAAGGAAGGAAACAAACAUUUAUUGCCUGCUUUGUGUUAGACUCUAUGUGAA
rnacentral:lncRNA from 1 species